rnacentral:lncRNA from 1 species
GCCCAAAGUCCCAGGCUAGGCGCGGCAGUUUCUCUGAGUACCCAGGAAGAGGAAGCACACAUCUGGAGAGGAUCACGGCCCCAGGAAAGCCCCCACCUCCAACUCUGGGCAGAAAGCCGAGGAUUCAUGACUCUCCAGGUGCAGAGCUGGGCUGAUUUCUAGACACCCUCUUAUGGGAUCUGUGAUGGAAGCAAUGUAUUUGUUUGUGAACAUGGCCAUGCCCUUGGAAGGGUCACCUGAACACUGGGCACUGCGGGUCCUGGAGCUGCCUGACUUCCCACCCAGAAAGACGCUAACUUGGAAGAAGCUCUUUGCUACCUAGGCGCACAGAUCCUGGCGCUGAAGGCGUGCACAGACCUCCCUGCUUUGUGACGCCCUCCUAUGACAGUGGAACAAGUCACCCCAGAAGACCAGUGACCCCAGGAACAUUAGCGUGAUGGCAUGAGUGGGGUGACUGGCCAGUGAGCCCAUUCCAAGGUGCUUCUGGUAUAGCCCCUUCUACCGCCCCCUAUGUGUGUUCAUAAGACAGGGUCUGGCCCUUCUUGCUCUCCGUUUUCUGCCCACAUCCUGACACUCGUCAGCUGCCCAGGAGGUGUCCAUUUCCUAUAGAGCCCUUGGUCUCACCUCCCAGGCCACCAGGCUCUGAGUGGAGCCAGUGUGGGCUGAGCAUCCAUCGCAGCUCUUCCCCAUCUCCUUCCCCACUGGCUAAAGCCGCAUCCUGACUGUACUCCACCACAAGUCUAGCAAAGACCCGAAAAUCCAUUAGAGUUCCAAUAAAUAAAUACAUACAAGAACC